rnacentral:rRNA from 1 species
CCCGAGUUGUAAUUUGUAGAAUUUGUCUUUGAUUAGGUCCUUGUCUAUGUUCCUUGGAACAGGACGUCAUAGAGGGUGAGAAUCCCGUUUGGCGAGGAUACCUUUUCUCUGUAAGACUUUUUCGAAGAGUCGAGUUGUUUGGGAAUGCAGCUCAAAGUGGGUGGUAAAUUCCAUCUAAAGCUAAAUAUUGGCGAGAGACCGAUAGCGAACAAGUACAGUGAUGGAAAGAUGAAAAGAACUUUGAAAAGAGAGUGAAAAAGUACGUGAAAUUGUUGAAAGGGAAGGGCAUUUGAUCAGACAUGGUGUUUUUUGCAUGCACUCGCCUCUCGUGGGCUUGGGCCUCUCAAAAAUUUCACUGGGCCAACAUCAAUUCUGGCAGCAGGAUAAAUCAUUAAGAAUGUAGCUACUUCGGUAGUGUUAUAGCUUUUUGGAAUACUGUUAGCCGGGAUUGAGGACUGCGCUUCGGCAAGGAUGUUGGCAUAAUGGUUAAAUGCC